rnacentral:rRNA from 1 species
AUUGAACGCUGGCGGCAGGCCUAACACAUGCAAGUCGAGCGGAUGAAGGGAGCUUGCUCCUGGAUUCAGCGGCGGACGGGUGAGUAAUGCCUAGGAAUCUGCCUGGUAGUGGGGGAUAACGUCCGGAAACGGGCGCUAAUACCGCAUACGUCCUGAGGGAGAAAGUGGGGGAUCUUCGGACCUCACGCUAUCAGAUGAGCCUAGGUCGGAUUAGCUAGUUGGUGGGGUAAAGGCCUACCAAGGCGACGAUCCGUAACUGGUCUGAGAGGAUGAUCAGUCACACUGGAACUGAGACACGGUCCAGACUCCUACGGGAGGCAGCAGUGGGGAAUAUUGGACAAUAGGCGAAAGCCUGAUCCAGCCAUGCCGCGUGUGUGAAGAAGGUCUUCGGAUUGUAAAGCACUUUAAGUUGGGAGGAAGGGCAGUAAGUUAAUACCUUGCUUUUUUGACGGUACCAACAGAAUAAGCACCGGCUAACUACGUG